AGUGAACGCUGGCGGUAGGCCUAACACAUGCAAGUCGAACGGCAGCACAGUAAGAGCUUGCUCUUACGGGUGGCGAGUGGCGGACGGGUGAGGAAUACAUCGGAAUCUACUUUUUCGUGGGGGAUAACGUAGGGAAACUUACGCUAAUACCGCAUACGACCUACGGGUGAAAGCAGGGGAUCUUCGGACCUUGCGCGAUUGAAUGAGCCGAUGUCGGAUUAGCUAGUUGGCGGGGUAAAGGCCCACCCAGGCGACGAUCCGUAGCUGGUCUGAGAGGAUGAUCAGCCACACUGGAACUGAGACACGGUCCAGACUCCUACGGGAGGCAGCAGUGGGGAAUAUUGGACAAUGGGCGCAAGCCUGAUCCAGCCAUACCGCGUGGGUGAAGAAGGCCUUCGGGUUGUAAAGCCCUUUUGUUGGGAAAGAAAAGCAGCAGGUUAAUACCCCGCUGCUCUGACGGUACCCAAAGAAUAAGCACCGGCUAACUUCGUG
rnacentral:rRNA from 1 species